GUCCUCGUAGUUUAAUGGAUAAAACAAAAAUCUCCUAAGUUUUAAAUGCAGGUUCGAUUCCUGCCGAGGACACCA
rnacentral:tRNA from 2 species